UUUUGCUUUAAUCUUGUAAUUAAAUCGGUUUUUACUUACUGUCAGGUGACUUUUGGUCAAACCUGUAUAUAUAUAUAUGUGUGUAUAUAUCGUUAUAAUGCAUACGUGUUGAUAAGUUUUAUGAAUAUAUUUUUGUAUAUAUAUAUAAAUAUAUGUGUGUGUGUUUGCGUACCCAUGCUAGCAUGGAAAGCGGACGUUAAACGAUGAUGAUGAUGAUAUAUAUAUAUAUAUAUAUAUAUAUAUAUAUAUAUAUAUAUAUAUAUAUAUAUAUGUAUAUAUGUAUGUGUGUGUGUAUAUAUAUAUAUAUAUCCCUAUUUAUAUAUGUUUUAUACUUAAAUAACCAUAUAUAAUUGUACAUAUAAUCGUAUUACAUAUAUGUGUUCACCAAUGUAAAUAACACACACUCGCACGCGCGCACUCACACACACACAAACACACACACACUAGUGUGCAGGGGUGGUUGUGCGUACCUGUGAGCGGAUUCUACGCGUUUUUUGUAUGUAUAUACAUACGUUCAUAUUAAAAAGGUCAUUAUAUGUAAAUAUAAAUUAUACAUAACUCUAUGUACAUUUAUUCAAUGAGCGUACAAUGCAUACAUUAGCAUAUAUUUUUGUACAAUAUAUAUACACUUUACAUACAUAUACUUUUUUUACUCUUUUACUUGUUUCAGUCAUUUGACUGCGGCCAUGCUGGAGCACCGCCUUUAAUCGAGCAACUCGACCCCGGGACUUAUUCUUUUUGUAAGCCCAGUACUUAUUCUAUCGGUCUCUUUUGCCGAACCGCUAAGCAACGAUUGUCAAGCAAUGCUAGGGGGACAAACACAAACACACAUACGCAUAUAUAUAUAUAUAUAUAUAUAUAUAUAUAUAUAUAUAUAUAUAUACAUAUAUACGACGGGCUUCUUUUCAGUUUCCUUCUAACAAAUCCACUCACAAGGCUUUGGUCGGCCCGAGGCUAUAGUAGAAGACACUUGCCUAAGGUUCCACACAGUGGGACUGAACCCGGAACCAUGUGGCUGGUAAACGAGCUACUUACCACACAGCCACUCCUGCGCCUAUGCAAACAUAUAUAUAAUUGUUGGAUAGAAAUCCUACUCCAAGGCAUUGGUUGUCUAACGCACACAUAUAUGUAUAUGUAUAGAGCUUUCUGUGUAUUUGGGUGCGUGGGAAGACGUCUGCUUCCCAACUACAUAGUUCUGGGUUCAAUCCCACCGCGUAGCACCUUGGGCAGGUGACUUCUUGCAUAGACCUAGGCUGACUAUUGCCUUAUGAGUGGCUGCAAUAGAGGGAAACCGAAAGAAGCACGUCGUACAUGUGUGUGUGUAUAUUCAUAUAUAUAUGUAUAUUUAUAUAUGUAUGUAUAUCAAUGUGUGUCUUUGUGUUUGUGUUCCUCUCUCACCACCCCUCGACGACUGGCGUUGGAUUCCUUAUGUGCCCGUAACUUAGCGGUUCGGCAAAAGCGGUGAUAGAACAAGAUCCAAGUAUGGCUGUAGUCCAAUGACUGAAACAAGUAAAAGAUUAUAUAUAUAUAUAUAUAUAUAUAUAUAUAUAUAUAUAUAUGUGACCGCCUGUGUACCGUUGGCGAUUUUUUUUCCUCAGUCUUCCCUUCUCUGGAUCUUUCCUUCUCCUAUGUUUCCGACGAAGAGCUCCGCUCGAAACGUUAAACCCUCCUUCUUUCCUUCUUUCCUGAGCGUCCAACCAUACUAUAUUUGUUCCACGUCUUCGCGUUGUUGCGUUUUUUUGUGCUUUCUUGUUUGGAUUAACUUUAUAUAUAUAUAUAUCUUUGUAUGUAUGUUUGUAUGUAUGCAUGUACAUGCAUCUAUCUGAUUGGCCACAGUUGGACACGUCGUGCCCCAUCUAUUUGUACCACGUGAUCUUGGUCAUCGUCGACAACGACGAACUAACUAAUAAUAAAUUAUGCGUACGCACAAACACAUACUCAGAGAUACACUUCUAUUUACACAGACAUUUAUGUAUAUAUAUAUAUGAAUAUACUUUAUUUACAUAUCUAUGUGUAUUGUCGUAUAUGAAUAUUUAUGUAAACAUGUUUAUACCUAUGAAUCCUUGUAUAACUACAUACACACACACAUACACACAUACAUACAUGCAUACACACUCACACACACACACACACACACACACACACACAUAUAUAUAUAUAUAUAUAUAUAUAUAUAGGAAUGUGUUAUUAAGCCACGUGCUUCGACAUACACGCACAAACAUAUAUAUCUUUGUGUGUACAUAUGUAUAUACAUGCAUACGUACGCAUACAUGUAUUGAGCAACAUGUAGGCGUAUUUGUAGACAAAUAAUUUAUUACAUGCGUGUAUGCGUGUGUAUGUGUAUACAGUUAAAUACAUUACCAUUUUCGUGUAUGUAUAUAUAUAUAUAUAUAUACAUACAUACAUACAUACAUAGAUGCAUACAUAUAUGCAUGCAUGUAUUAUAUAUGUGUGUGUGUGUAUAUAUACAUAUAUAUAUAUAUAUAUAUGCACAUAUAUAUGCAUGUAUGUGUAUAUAUUUACUAUAUUUCCAUAGGAAUAUUUUUGUUGGAUUACUUUUGUUUUCUGCAUAAACAGGUACACACACAAGCACACACACACACACACACACACACACACACAAAACACACACACACACACACACACAAAACACUCAUGCAUAAUCAUUUACAUAUAUAUAUAUAUAUAUAUAUAUAUAUAUAUAUAUAUAUAUAUAUAUAUAUAUAUAUAUAUAUGUGUUAUACAUGUAUACUGCGCAUACACACAUACAUGUGUGUGUGUGUUUGUGUGUGUACCUUAAAAUCAUGUAGUGAAAUAAUUUGUCGCAUCAAUCCAUACCUACCUAUUUUUUUUUUUUAACACUGGCUAGAUAUAGAAGUGGAGCGAUUAAUCUUUUUUUUUCUUUUUUGUAUGGAUGAACAGAUUGAAAACGAUGGGCGGAUUUAUUUAUACAGAUCUAUGUAAAUAUAUAUUAUAUGUAAGCAAAGUUGUAUAAAAUUGCAAAAUACAUGUGUGAGUAUAAUAUAUAUAUAUAUAUAUGUCUGUUCUGUUUGUUUGCAUUUAAGAGCGGGAGAGACAGGCGGAGAAGGAGCGAUAGAGAAAUAUACUUGCAAAUACAAUAUAUAUAUAUAUACACAGAUACAUACACACACACGUACACACACAUACGGUAUAUAUAUAUAAUAUAUGCAGGUAUGUAUCGAUGUAUGUAUAUAUAUAUAUAUAUAUAUAUAUAAAUGUGGGUUAUUGAAUUGAAUUCAGUUAAUGGUUCAUCCAGUCAUUGGCACACGCUUUUCCCAAUCAAAGAUGGCGGAAGAUAAGGCAUCACAAUUUCCGCCAUGUUUUACAAUUUCGUCUGGACUGUAGAAAGUCCUUACUACACUUGUGUAAGUUUUGGGUAAUACAGCGUAACGAUGGAGUGGUUUCGCUCGCUGACUGUCACACAUAACACGACCGUCCGCACGCGGACACGUGUGUAUGUACAUAUUUAUAUGCAUAUAAACAUACAAUGCGCUCAUAGUUUAACACACACAUACACACAUGCACAUAGGCAUAUAGUUUUCCGAUGCCUAAUUAAGGAAGGCAAAGUAACGACCCGGUGUGUCACCCUAAAUUGAAAUUUGUAAUUAAGAAAUUUGUUUCGCAACCAUCUGGCUGCCUGUUCGAAUCCUCCUGCGCCAUGUCUUCUCCUACAUCUAUUGGUCAACCAGUGCCUGUUGAGAGAAAAUUGAUAAACGGUAACUGUACGAAAAGCUAUUGAAUAUGUAUCCAUGUUUGUCUAUAAAUUUCACCGAGUCAUUUGGGCAGACCAUAUGCAAGGAAACUUAAAUGCAGUGUUUAACGAACGAAGCCGCUUGAGAUUUUUGUUCAUAUUGCGUUUAGGACACUUGUUACUUACACCAUAGGCGUAGGAAUGGCUGUGUGGUAAGUAGCUUGGUUCCGGGUUCAGUCCCACUGCGUGGCAUCUUGGGUAAGUGUCUUCUGCUAUAGCCCCGGGCCGACCAAUGCCUUGUGAGUGGAUUUGGUAGACGGAAACUGAAAGAAGCCUGUCGUAUAUAUAUAUAUAUAUAUAUGUAUGGGUGUCUGUUUGUCCCCCUAGCAUUGCUUGACAACCGAUGCUGGUGUGUUUACGUCCCCAUAACUUAGCGGUUCGACAAAAGAGACCGAUAGAAUAAGUACUGGGCUUACAAAGAAUAAGUCCCGGGGUCAAUUUGCUUGACUAAAGACGGUGCUCUAGCAUGGCCGCAGUCAAAUGACUGAAACAAGAAAGAGAGAGAGAGAGAGAGAGAGAGAGAGAGAGAGAGAGAGAGAGAGAGAGAGAGAGAGAGAGAGAGAGAGAGAGAGAGAGAGAGAAAGAACCAGGAGAUUGUUUCGUUGGAAACAACUAUUGACACUGUUGUUCAUCAUAUAAAACAAAAAUAAUAUUAAAAAAUAUAUCUAAUGCAAUUACAGUUGUUUUGAUCAGAUCCGCCCACCAUCCAGUUUUCUUUCAGUCUUUGGUAAUUUUUCUAACACACUUUUAUUACAUGUUUAUUUAUUUAUCGUUAUAGAAGGACUAUCUUUUGGCAGAGUCGUUAUCAGAUAAAAAUGCAUUUUACGAAAUUUUUGUUCUUCGUUGAAAUCAUGCCGAGGCUGACUUUGCCAUUUAUCGUUCUGUGUCGAUAAAACCAAAUACACGUCAUAUACCUGUGAGGUGUGAGCAUGUUGACGGCCUAUCUCGAUUCACAUACAAUAUACUGCCAUGGUAGAGCAGAGACACUGAAUGAAAAGGCCCAACAGUUGAAAUACACUACCAUUGCAUCAGUAUUAAGAUAUAUCUCUUAUUAUAAUCUUCUAUAAAAUCCUAUGUUCAAGCCAACAGAGCACAUGCACAAUCUACAAACUAUUUUCCACUCAUACACAUACACACGCAAUUUCUUUUUUUCUCUAAAUGGGAUCCCCCAUUAAAAAGGCGGAAAAAAUUCCAGAAUCUUAUUUAAGAACUAUAUAAACUACAAGUAAUGCUUGACUAGAAAGAAAAUAUUUCUUUCUUUGCAAUGACAAUAUUUUGUUAUCAAUGGAAAUAUAUUAUUUCUAAUAACAUUAAAUUUGCUUGGGAUAUGAUUGUCACUUUAUUUAUCAUCUUCUAAGGCCAAUGGGGGAGCUUGUAGCUAGUGGUGGCUCGAUCUGUUUGAUGCAGCAGUCAAAUACCCCUGAAAGUUACACUUUAGAUCAUGCAUAUGAUACAUGGAAAAAGAGGACAAUAAUAGGAUUUCUUUGUUGUUCUCUUCGAUCAGUGUUGAGCUGGAGUUAAAUAAUAACAACAAUGUCGCUGUUGUAGGUGUUGUUAUUGUUUACCCUAUAACAGCAAUUAAGGAAAAUUACAGCUUAAAAUGUGACAAACAUUCAUUCUAAAGACUCGACCUCUGAAGACAACUCGAAUAUUAAUGAUAAUAAUUAUGGUUACUAGUUUAGGUACAAUGCUAGCAAUUUUAAAAGAAGUGAGUCCGUUGAAACCAUCUACCCCCAGAUUGAUGCAUAGCCGAAAUCUCCAACGCUUAUGAAUAUGUAUAGCACUGUCUGGCACCACACACAUCCUAUGUAGAGCUCCUUCAGUACAAUAAAAAUAACAAUACCCAAACAGAUCACAGUACAUACCCAAGGCACACAGAGCUGCGCUCGGUAGUGCACUGAAAGCACACAAUAAUAAUAACACCACGGAAUAAUAAUAAUAAUAAUAAUAAUAAUAAUAAUAAUAAUAAUAAUAAUAAUAAUAAUAAUAAUUUCAAAUUUUGCCACACUUUGGAAGAGGUGGGUGUCCAUUGCAUCGACCCCAGUGUUCAACUAGUACUUAAUUCAUCGACCCCCGAAAGGAUGAAAUGGAAAGUCGACCUCGGCGUAAUUUUGAACUCAGAACGUAGCGGCAGACGAAAUACCUAUUUCUUUACUACCCACAAGGGGCUUAACACAGAGGAGACAAACAAGGACAGACAAACGGAUUAAGUCGAUUAUAUCGACCCCCAGUGCGUAACUGGUACUUAUUUAAUCAACCCCGAAAGGAUGAAAGGCAAAGUCGACCUCGGCGGAAUUUGAACUCAGAACGUAGCGGCAGGCGAAAUACCGCUAAGCAUUUGCCAGUUACGUCCCCAUAACUUAGCGGUUCGGCAAAAGAGACCGAUAGAAUAAGUACUAGGCUUACAAAGAAUAAGUCCUGGGGUCGAUUUGCUCGUCUAAAGGCGGUGCUCCAGCAUGGCCACAGUCAAAUGACUGAAACAAAUAAAAGAAUAAAAAAAAUAGAGGGAAAAGCCCCUCAAGGGCGACCAAGGGACCUACAGAUCCAAACUCACCCUACGCACAAGGAAUACCAUGGCAAAUGCACCUCUUUCCGUUGUAUUUUUCAGCUCUGGCCGUUCUCGUUACGUUCACCCACUGUUUUAAACAUUUACUGAGGAGAUGGAAGCAGCGUCUCCCUCUCCACUUCACUUUCCUUUCCAAGUGGAGCUUGAAAAAAUACAAUGAGGACAAGGCUGCAAAGGAAAGCGUCUGUCUUCAGUCCUUUCAGUCGUGCCCACUACAAAAUCUUUUUCACCAUAGCCACUAGAGGAAAUCUGCCUGUACUUCGCGAUCAAAAGAAGGCUACAGGGCAAUCUUCAUGAUAGAGUCGGCUUAUAACUGCAUCCGACCGACACGUGAUAGCAGCUGUUCGAUAUAAUCCCGUAAGUAAUCAAUUGCUCAAGCACUAUGCGACCGCGUGCAGAACGGUUUCGUCACUCUGCGCACAUGUCGGGCAAAUCUGAUUGACAAUGUUUCCAUGCCUGUAGAGUCUAUUCCGAACCAGCAAUGCCACUUGGUAGUACUAUCAGAUUUUAGACAAUCAUCUACGGGCACAGGCACGAAAGUCGAAAAACAUCACCCAAUUCAUCCAUACCGAAAGUUGCCUCGAGACGUCAUUGCAUUUACCCACCACUAUUUCUCUAUAGAACACCAUAAUGGAACAUACCGACCGUAUUGGCUGACCAGCUGAGAGCUGUGAUCAGAGGUGAAGAUUUUGGCCAGAGGUUAGCGCUUGUAAUCGGUAGAUGCAGCUUAAACAUACGCCAUACCCAAUAGGUGUAUCCACGACAACCUUCUCUUCACGCAAGACAUCAUAGAAAGGAUGAGGUAAUGAACCUGGUAUGCGUGGGGUCAUGAUGAAUUUAGAUCAGACGAAAGCUUCCGAUAGGGUUGACCAUCAUCAAUUCCUUGCGGUGGGCCUCGAGGCGACUAGUUUUGGGCCCGCCUUCAGAAGCUGGAUCGCUGCAAUAUACAGUGAUAUUUACUCAGUGGUCAGAGUAGUAAAUGGCUCCUUGUCGGAACCGUCCUGUAUUAUGUGUUUGGUCCGUCAGGGAUGCCCAUUCUUCUGAUGGGUAAAUCCGGGUUUACUUUACUGAAUAAAGAAUAUUUUCGAGAAUGUAAAUCCAAAACAAUUACAAAGAAUACGGAGACUGAUACAUCCUUUUUUUUCUUUUAAUCUUAACAGCUACUUAUACAACAUACUAGAAUACCUGUGACCCGUUAGGUCAAUGACGGUUCAGGUUAUAAAACAUUGAAGCUGAUUUCAACAUUGCAUUGAAAUGAAAUUUAAUUUUAUGAUGAUUCAGUAAAAUAUUGCAAUUCGUUCGUGUCAUUCUAGGUCUGGUUUACAAGUUCAUGUUUUAAGGUUUUAUUGAUUAUUUACAGCAUCUAAUGGAAAUAGAAUCUCUUGGAUAAACUCUAGUAAUAGCAUUUAUUUAUGGCAUAUGUGCACACUUCUACAAAACCGCAAAAGGAAUUGUUAUAUACAGUUCUAUAUUUAAGAGAUGAGCAAUUUUGUACAUUAUUUACAUUAUUUAUAUUUGAAGAAUAUUUGUCCUCAUCUUGUUUGUUGUUAACACGUUUCGGCUGAUAUACUCUCCAGGCUUCUUCAGAUGUCUUGAGCGCAGUGCUUAAGAGCGCGGGCUACUAACCCCAAGAUUCCGAGUUCGAUUCCAGGCAGUGUAUUGAAUAAUAAUAAUGAUAAUAAUAAUAAUAAUAAUAAUAAUAAUAAUAAUAAUAAUAAUAAUAAUAGCAUCGAAAAAUACCUUUGGAAUGAGAACCUAGGCUCGAAAUUUCCCCAAGACACCUGAUGAAGGCUGGAGGGUAUAUCAGCCGAAACGUGUUAACAGCAAACAAGAUGAGGACAAAUAUUCGUCAAAUGUAAAUAAUGGAAUUGUUACAUAACAUAAUCAUUAAAAAUAAAUGGAAACAAUUUUCACUGUAUUAUAUAUUCACAUUUCAGGGUUAUGUUACUUUCGGAGUAUUUUCCCAUUAUGCGCCGUUUUGGCAAUUUAAGAAGAUACCCCAGGAAACCGCGUAUAUUAAUUUUUUGUUUUGUAAUGAGAUAAAAAAAAACCUAGGCAGUGUAGAUUUUAGAACAUUUAUUGAAAGAAGGUCUUACAGGUGUUUCUGUAAACGUUCUAAAAUCUAUACUGCCUUGGUUUUUUAUUUCAUUACAAAAAAAAUUUUUUAUAUAGACACGCUGACAUAUGACCAACGUUAAACCCCUUAUUCGCAUAAUCACCGAACUUGGAACUUAACUACGGUCCAUCUAUAGCACUUAUUCAGCAUUAUCUGACACCUUUGGGUCUCAAUGACACCAUUACCUAUCAUAAUCUCCAUAUAUAUAUAUAUAUAUAUAUAUAUAUAGGCUUCUUUCAGUUUCUACCAAAUCCACUCAAAAGGCUUUGAUCAGCCCGAGGCAUUUGGUAGAAAGCGCUUACUCAAGAUACCACGCGAUGGAACCGAACCUGGUACCAUGUGGUUGCGAAGCAAACUUCUUACCACACAGCUACGAACACUUAAUAAUAGUUUAGCUUUACCCAACUCGGUUUCAAAAUCAAAUCCAUCUCAAGUUACUAAAAUCUACGUGAGCGAUCGAUCUUACGCAAAUACCAGCCAGAUAUCCCUUUAAUUUCACUUGACCAUUUUAAGAAAAAUACGGUACAUUUCAUAAUGUAAUCUUAGAGAUUCUUAAUUAAAAGCUGGGUAAGUCAUGGUCAGAAGGCUCCAAAUGAAGGUUUUUUUUAAAAAAAGAGGUAGUAGUUUAUAUAGUAGUCAUCUGAUAGGCUUGUUCGCAGUUUCCAUACACUCGAUCCUACUCAUAAUACUGGAGCUGACCCACAUCAGUGAUUUAAAAUGCAUGCCCAAGAUGCCGCAGAGUGAAAUUGAACCGAAAUCUUCGUGACUGUGUGUCUAUGUUUAUGCCUAUACCAAUGUUUGUAUAUACCGUUUGUAAAUUGGUGUAUCGAGUUAAGCUGCUUUACGGCAAAAGACCACUUAGCCAUUCGAUAAAUAGAUACUGAUAAAGCGAGUUUUCGAAAUAAAUAAGUACUGGCUUCGGCACGAUCAUCUAAAACUUUCAAGGUGGGUCUCCCCAACAUGGCAGCAUCCCAAUUACUGAAACCAAUAAAAAGAUUUCCCACGAGAAUUUUCCAGUAAAAUGUUUGACUUUAUCUUCGAUUUUUCAGUAAAGUCAAGGUAUUCAUUCAAAGUUGAGUUAUUUACUCUGGAGAAGUUAAUUGUACAAUUAUUGAGUACUAUUCUUUGUCUGGUCUGACAGAUGUAUGAUAAAUAAUAGUUUUAGCGAUGAUCAUUCCAUCUUAUAUUCAAUAUACUCAAGUUUCUGUUAUUGAAUGUGUUCUUGUUUUCGAAGAUGGUUAAAUGUAGUUAAAAGGUAAUUUGGUUGCUAUUUUUGACAAGUUGAAUGAUCACCGACGGAGAAUUUAUAUUUUUCGUGGAAAAGUUCUUAAAUAACAAUAUUACUACACUGUUUCUAACAUGUAUCUACGGGCGGAUAUUUGUAUGAGAAGUCAGCUCACAAUCCCCCGAGAUUUCCAGAAGAGAUCCUAACCCUGAAUUAUUGAAGCACAAGGUAAAAAUUACAAAUCAUCAAUCUGUAGUAUUUUUUGUAAUUCAGCUCCACAUGACUUCAAGUUUCGUGGGCGUAAAGGACACCUCCAUCUCAACAGAUGUUACUAGAAUAUAAAAAAAUAUUACUUUCCGUUUGUUCACCCAUUUGUGUAUAUACACAUAUAUGCAUUGGGGAAAAUGGCACUCGCCUAUAAGCUGACUACUCAAGUAUGGCGAAGAUACCGGAAUUGUGAUGAUAACCAUCGAUUGAGAAUUUUGAAAGAAGUUUCUAUGAAACUAGUUCUUAAACAUCAAAAGCCUAUUUUACUCUGCCCACCAGAAUAAAAUAGUAAUUAACGAGGGCCAUGGGUAGAAAAUUUGUUGAGAACUACUGCCCUAAGAUAUAAAAUGCAUAACUUAUUGGACCUCUUCAGAGGGGUUUUACGUUGUUGCUGUUGUUGUUAAGCCACAAGACGGGUAAGAGUGAUUAAGUGAUGGUCUAGGGCUUAGGGGCGGGAGACCCCAGACCUUGGAAAGAAAAAAAACUUUGGUCGUCUUGUUGUAGUCGAGGGCUCUUCGUUGACGCCCGACACCACUGGGAGAUGGCCCUCGAAGUCGCUGGAAAUGGAGAUCUCCAGGUCCAAAUUCUUGAACGGCUGUUGCUGUUGUUGUUACUGCUGCUGCUGGGGGUUUGUCUUUUUUUUUUUUUUUUUUAAUUAUGAUGGGCUGCCAGAAACAUUUCGGACAAAGCACUUUACGACAUUUGGUAGCAGAUCGCUGCGUCCUUCGUUCAAAUCCUACCGGAGUCAACUUUGCCGUUCUUCCUUCCGUGGUCAAUGAAAAUAUAUGUGUGUCUGUGCGUGCGGGUGUGUGUGUGUGUGUGUGCGCGCGCGCGUGUGUGUGGAUACCAUAUUUAUUCGAGUUUAAGUCGGGCUAUUUUAUAUUUGAUUUUACCUGAAAAACUGGGGUAACGCUUACGAGCAAAUAUAGUGUUUGCGUGUACGUAGGUAUUUAUUUAUUUAUGCAUAUUUACAAGUAUACAUAUGCAUAUGUAUAUUUAUAUAUACGUAUUAUAUAUAUCAUGCAUACAUACAUACAUGUGUGUGUAUGCAUGUAUAUACAUAUAUAUAUACAUACAUGUGUGUGUAUAUAUGUAUGUAUGUAUGUAUGUAUAUAUAUAUAUAUAUAUAUAUAUAUAUAUAUAUAUAUAUAUAUAUAUAUAUAUAUAUAUAUAUAUAUAUAUAUAUAUAUAUAUAUAUAUAUAUAUAUAUAUAUAUAUAUAUAUAUAUAUAUAUAUAUAUAUAUAUAUAUAUAUAUAUAUAUAUAUAUAAUAUAUAUAUAUAUAUAUAUAUAUAUAUAUAUAAUAUAUACGUGUGUGUGUUUUGUAGAUGUGCAAUCUCAAUGUUCUGUUAGAUGCUCAAAGUUAAGUUUCAGCAUUUCGGAUACACAUUAUGUAACACGUCUCUGUUAAACAUUUCCUGAACACAUCAAAAUAUUGACACGUUCCUUGUAAAACACGACUUAUUCACGCAUCUGUGAAACAGGUGAUCUCAUGCAUAAACAUACACGCACACUCAAAGUCACUCCCACUCACACGUGCACACACACACACACACACACACACACACACACACACACAUAAGCACAAACAUACAAACAUACGCAGUACACACACGCAUGGCAAUGCGCAAUGACAUCUCCCACAGCCUGGAAAGAAAUUUGCACUCUAGUUGAAGUCGCCGUCCACGAAUAAUGUUAUUUGGCAGCUUUCAAGCCUGAUAUUGUAUAUAUUAUGUUCCUUCAUUUCUCGCAAAUUAGCAAUUCUUCAAAAACAUAACUAGCAGUCUGAAAGAUGUAUUGGUGUCGAUAUCAUGGACCAAACUGCUGAAGUCAGUGCUUCGCUCGCGCGCACGCACAUACAUUCAUUCAUGCAUUCACAUAUAUGUACACACAUAUAGGGCGGCGAGCUGGCAGAAACGUUAGCACGCCGGGCGAAAUGCGUAGCCGUAUUUCGUCUGCCGUUAAGUAUAUAUAUAUAUGAGCUUCUUUCAGUUUCCGUCUGCCAAAUCUACUCACAAGGCUUUGGUGGCCCAAAGCUAUAGUAGAAGACACUUGCCUAAGGUGCCACGCAGUGGAACUGAACCCGGAACCAUGUGGUUGAGAAUUUCGGAUACACGAAACUACUCAGAAAAGAAAGAACUGAAUGCAGCAAUAAGUUGGGUGGUUACGAAGGGUUCGGCAUCUGUUGGAUUUUUUGAAGCAACAAUUUUCCGCGUCCAGCGAUCUCUCAAACCACACAUAUAAUGUUGGGGAGGGGCCUAUGAAAGCAAAAUAGUAAAUUCGUGAGCCACAGUAGUACUGUAAGGGUUCAUGAAAAGAUUUUAUACUAGAUAUAUUUAUGCAUUACAAGAAACAGUUAUGCUGCUUUUUUCUAACGGUAUAUAUAACUCAAUAUAUAAAAGGCAGAGAGCUGGCAGAAACGUUAGCACGUCGGGCGAAAUGCUUAGCGGUAUUUCGUCUGCCGUUACGUUGUGAGUUCAAAUUCUGCGGGGGUCGACUUUGCCUUUCAUCCUUUCGGGGUCGAUAAAUUAAGUACCAGUUAAGCACUGGGGUCGAUGUAAUCGACUUAAUACCUAUGUCUGUCCAUGUUUGUCCCCUCUAUGUUUAGCCCCUUGUGGGUAAUAAAGAAAUAGGUAUUUCGUCUGCCGUUACGUUGUGAGUUCAAAUUCCGCCGAGGUCGACUUUGCCUUUCAUCCUUUCGGGGUCGAUAAAUUAAGUACCAGUUAAGCACUGGGGUCGAUAUAAUCGACUUAAUACCUAUGUCUGUCCAUGUUUGUCCCCUCUAUGUUUAGCCCCUUGUGGGUAAUAAAGAAAUAGGUAUAUAUAACUCAAUACGUUUUCAACCACUGAAACCUCGGUCAUUAGCUAUUGCAAACUUACACAAGCACACGUGGGAAAAACAAAAUAGGGAUUUUGGAAAGAAGUAUCCAUAAAACUAGCUUUUAACCUUUUAGUAUUCAGAUUACUCUGUCAAAUGCUAUGCUUGUUUAUUCACAUAUUUUGAAUUAAUCAAACUCUAUCUUGUAGCUUUGAAAUUUCGAUAGUUUGACUGUUUAUGUUUAGACGGACAUUGUAGAGUAGGUGUGAGAGGUUGGACCUCGCCAGUUCGAAUAUAAAACAGCUAGAACAUUUUGGCCUGAUAUGGCUGCUUUAAACGCUUAUGGGUGAAAUAAAAAAAAAUGGUUACGAGGGUCCAUCAAAAUGAGAUAGCAAUCAAAGCGGAAAACCAUUGGUCUAAAUAAAAUUGCUUAUAGUUGUUGUUUUCCUCAUAUGAGACAUUUCACCGAUUUUAUUUCAUCCUUUCAUCCUUUCGGGGAUAGAUUAAAGUGAAGUACUCACCCCUCAUCCCCUAAAAGCAGAUGAGCUGAGGAAGGCGAUGAGAUCAGAAUCAGUAGAGUGUCAGAGGAAAUGUUUUGCGGUAUUUCUUCCGGAGCUUUCAGUUCCAAGUUCAAAUUAGCCUGAUGAAUCGCUUAAAGAAAAUACCCACCGCGAUCAAUUUUGCCUUUCUUCCCUUCGGAGGUUGAUAAAAUAAAGUACCAGUCAAAUACUAGGGUCGAUUGUAUCAACUGACUCUCUCCACCAAAAUUCUGGACCUUGUGUCUGUAUACACUUAAUAAGAUUCUUGGAAACUUCAGUGAGUCUGUUUCUCAUGAGUGAACUUUUUCAGUUUGCUUUAACGUUAACUAAUGAAAUAUCUAGAAAUAGUAAGAAUAGUGUCAUGUAAGUUAGAUUAAUAAUAAUAAUAAUAAUAAUAAUAAUAAUAAUAAUAAUCAUCAUCAUAAGAACAAUAAUAAUAACGGUUUCAUAUUUUGGCGCAAGGCCGUCAAUUUUAGGAGAGGGUUAAGACGAUUACAUCGACCCCAGUACUCGAUUAGUACUUCUUUUAUCGACCUCGAAAGGAUGAAAGAUACAUAUUUCUUUAUUACCCACAAGGGGCUAAACACAGAGGGGACAAACAAGGACAGACAUAGGUAUUAAGUCGAUUACAUCGAACCCAGUGUGUAACUGGUAUUCAUUUUAUCGACCCCGAAAGGAUGAAAGGCAAAGUCGACCUCGGCGGAAUUUGAACUCACAACGUAACGGCAAACGAAAUACCACUAAGCAUUUCGCCCGGCGUGCUAACGUUUCUACCAGCUCGCCGCCAUGUGCCGAAAGAUACAGUCAACCACGGUGGAAUUUGAGCUCAGAAUGUUGUAAAAAUGGAGGAAAUGCCGCUAAGCAUUUUGUCUAGUGUGCUAACGAUUUCCCCAGCGCGCCACCUUAUUUAUAACAAUAACUAUAAUAAUAAUCCUUUUUACUAUAGACACAAGGUCUGAAACUUUGAGGAAAGGGGAGAUAAUCGAUAACAUUGAUCUCAGUAAUUUACUGAUAGUGUUUUCAUCGACCCUUGUGCAGUGCUCUUUCCUGCGGUUCUCUCGGAUUUUCAAGAGCUCAAUAACGACAGUUCCGUUGAUUCACUAUGCCAUUGAGAUGAAAAUUAGCUUUAUCACUCAUUAACAAAAUGAGGUCGUCAUUUGGCUCAAAAAUUGCUUCCAUCUGAUGUGCGAAGUUAAGCCACUGUACAUAGUUCCACGGUUUGAACUGUUGUCCAAUGACCAAUUGGUACGGGUGGAAAUGCAAUACACAGCUUAGCGCUCGAUUACAGAUACCAAGUUCAGUGGAAUGGCUGACGCGUUUCACAUUUUCCGGAAUCCGUACCGUUCGUGGGCCCCUAGAGGACUCCUAUCCAUUAGUGUACUUCGUGUACGAAGUGCAUUCACCCAACGUAAGAUUGUGUUACGAGUGGGAACAGCCUGAUUUCGGUGAAUGUUGAAAUGGCGCUGAAACUCACACUGAACUGCUGUGACAGACUCGUUAUUUUUCACGUAACUGUCGAAGGCAAACACGCGAUGCUCUAUCGUCCACAGCACCAUGGCUUCACCUGAAAAGAAAAAAAAGAUGCUAAGACACCACAGACCGAAUUGUACCUGUCGGUCAUAUGUCCCUCCCCGCUGGGGCUGAGUAAUAGCCAUUUCAAGGACGUCCGUCCUCUCUACCCCAACAAAAAAAUGCUAUGACACAAAACCGAAUUGUACCUGUCGGUCAUAUGUCCCUCUCCGCUGGGGCUGAGUAAUAGCCAUUUCAAGGACGUCCGUCCUCUCUGCCCCAACAAAAAAAUGCUAAGACACCACGGACCGAAUGGUACCUGUCGGUCAUAUGCCCCCCCCCCCCCGCUGGGGCUGAGUAAUAGCCAUUUCAAGGACGUCCGUCCUCUCUACCCCAACAAAAAAAAUGUUAAGACACCAACGGACCGAAUUGUACCUGUCGGUCAUAUGCCCCCCCCCCCCCCCGCUGGGGCUGAGUAAUAGCCAUUUCAAGGACGUCCGUCCUCUCUACCCCAACAAAAAAAUGUUAAGACACCAACGGACCGAAUUGUACCUGUCGGUCAUAUGUCCCUCCCGUCCUCUCUGCCCCACCCUGUACACAACAGAGUAAAUGGUACUGUUUACAUGUAUUAACAUAAAUCAUAUUUAAUACUAGAGAAACAACAACAACAACAACAACAAAGGAAUUGCACGUGCGUUAGGUACGUAGAUUUCCGCUUGGUCAUACAAAUGAAAGCAUGCAAUAGCAACAAUAUUAUGAAGAAGAAGAACAACAACAAAAAAUAAUAAUCCUUUUUACUACAGGCGCACGAGUAGCUGUGUGAUAAGUAGCUAACUUACCAGCCACAUGGCUCUGAGUUCAGUUCCACUGCGUGGCACCUUGGGCAAGUGUUUUCUAUUAUAGCCUUGGGCCGACCAAAGCUUUGUGAAUGGAUUUGGUAGACGGAAACUGAAAGAAUCCCGUCGUAUAUAUGUAUAUAUAUAUAUAAGUAUGUGUGGGUAUAUGUGUGCGUGUCUUUGUUUGUCCCCCAACAUCGCUUAACAACCGAUGCUGGUUUAUUUACGUCCCCGUAACUUAGCGGUUCGGCAAAGAGACCGAUAGAAUAAGUACUAGGCUUGCCCCCCAACAUCGCUUAACAACCGAUGCUGGUGUGUUUACGUCCCCGUAACUUAGCGGUUCGGCAAAAGAGUACGAUAGAAUAAGUACUAGGCUUACAAAAAAUAAGUCCUGGGGUCGAUUUCUUUGACUAAAGGCGGUGCUCCAGCAUGGCCAGAGUCAAAUGACUGAAACAAGUAAAAGAGUAAAAGAGUAUUGACAUAAUGCCUGAAAUUUUGUGAGAGGUGGGUUUAGUUGAUUAUACUGACCCCUGUGUUCAACUAACCGCUAUUUCAUCGAUCCCUAGAGGAUGGAAGACUAUGUAGUCCUCGGCGGAAUUUGAACUCCGGAUCAAAUAGUUGACUGGUAUUUCAUUUUACCGACCAUGAAACGAGAUAGUAGUGGUGGUGGUGGUGGUGGCGACGGCGGCGGCGGCGGUGGUGAUGGUCUUUUUUGGUUAACUCUACGUCAACCACAUGAUAUAAUUUACCUAAGACUACAUUAUUAAAUGUCUCCUCGCUUUUAUUUGUUUUCUUUUUGAAGACGAUAAUGUAUGACCUGAGAGAGACUUGGCUGCUAUUUCUAGCAAGAUGAAUGACUAUAUAGAGGCUUCUCAUAUUGGCACUGAGUGUGGAGAGCGGCAGACUUCCAGUGUUAAAUGGCUGCAGCAUAGCAAUAUUGUUGUUGCCAGAUGAAACAUUCUCGACUAACAUUGUACAACAAGCAAUAUGUUAUUUAUGUCUCGUAGCGUUUGUGUUUGUUUGGUGAUGCUAUUUAGAGGGUCUCCAUUCUUUUUGAAUGUCGGUGUUAAAAGUCUGUCAUUACUAUUUGUGGUAGUUGCUACUAUUUAUAUAUCUGCCAUUGCUGCUUAUGUAAUUCUUUGCGCUACAGAUGUCCGUAAUGGGACGAAUGAUACUUUAUGGCUGUUUAUUUAUUUAUUUAUUCAUUUAUUUAUUUAUUUAUUUAAGAUGUCACUGGCUGGGACAUUCACGUUCACAAUAGUUUGCGUGUGUAUGUGAGAAAGAGAGGGGGAGCAAAUGUAUAUACGUAUAUGUAUAUACAAUACAUAUAUAAACAUAUAUAGAUACACACAUACACACAUAUAUAUAUAUAUAUGCGUAUCGUUAGCUCCUACACGCAUUUAUUUCUCUCCUUGUUUCUCUCCUUGUUUUUUUUCUGUGUAUCUUUCUGUCGAAGAGCGUAGGCUCGAAACGUAAAAGACUUUUUCUAUUCUUGAGCGCUAUACUAAUACAUUCGUUUGUUUGUACUCCACCUGCCUUCGUCUUUUGUUUAUUUUCGUAAACUUUCCCUUUAUAUAUAUAUAUAUAUAUAUAUAUAUAUAUAUAUAUAUACAUAUAUAUAUAUAAGUAUAUGUAUAUGCACACACACACACACAUACUCAUAUGUAUAUUUAUACGCAUGUAUUAUGAAUAUAGGCAGCACCUUGAUUCUGUGUUCUUUAAAAUCUUGUCGUAACCGCGAAAACUGAUUUCUGUAUUAUAAUUUAAGAAACGCCCCGACGUCUUUUUUUCUUAUUACUUUCUUUCUUUUAUUUAUUUAUUUAUUUAUUUAUUUAUUGUUUGUUUGUUUGUUUGGUAAAGAAUACAUUGAAAUUGAAAUAUUUAUUUAAACUCACACCGCAGAAUAUUCAUUCAUAAAUGCAUUUAGGAAUAAAAAAGAACACAGUAAUAUGUCUACUGAACGUAGGAGGGCUGCUGCGCAGCAGCUGUAAAAGGAAAAUCUCAUUCCUGAGAGACCUUGUGGCAUGCAAUCAAUCUAUAUGCAUGGCACUCAUAGAAACGCAUCUUGGACCCGAUAUAGGGGAUGCAGAAAUACUCAUACCACAAUAUGCUGUCAUACGCUCAGAUAGAAAAGGGAAGAGCCAUGAUGGAGUUGCAAUGUACAUCAGAGAUGACCUCACGCCCUUGGUCCUGAUGUCAUAUUCAAACUCAGUGUGUGACACUCAAAUUGUACGCAUAAGACAACUGAAUAUCGUCAUAUGUACUACAUAUCGCCCACCGGAUGCCCCAAAUCACUCAGGCAUGUUUGAAGACUGCCUAACAAAAAUAGGAGAAAUUCUCACCAACCUGGAACAACACAACAGUGUAUUCUUCAUGGGUGACUUUAACUUCCUCAAUGUGGAAUGGCCUAGGGCGGGGGCAGAUGCUCCCAGGGAUGAAACACCAUCAGCAGGCACAGGCAGAGUCCCUGCUCCAUCUCACAAAUGCCUCUUUCAUGGAGCAAAUAGUGCUGCACCAACAAGGGCAGAUAAUAUACUGGAUCUCUGCUUUACAAACAAUAUGGAUAUUAUCCAUAAUGUUAAAGUGAUGCCGACAAUGAUCUCGGAUCACAACAUAAUAGAGCUGUCUAUGUAUGAACCAAAAGCCCCCGCAGACACACAGCCUAUACGAAACAUCUACAAUCUCUCCAACUUAAACUUUCAUAAAGCAAAUUGGAAGUUGAUCGAGAAAGAGAUCCUCAAACAGGAUUGGCCUAAAUGUCUCUCCACACCGGACAUUGACAUGAAACACAAACGCUUCAUGUCCAUAAUACAAGCCAUAUGUGACAAAUAUGUCCCAGUAUGCUGGGCCGGCACACACAAAAACAAAAACAGGCUUCCUAGAGAAAGGAAGAUUCUUAUGAGACGACGGACAAGGAUUACGAACCGCCUGAGCAAGCACACCAGAAGUGGUGAGAAGUCUCGGCUCGAGAGAAUGCUAAUGGAAAUUGAGAAAAGUCUGCAUCAGUUUCAUGAAAAGGUGAGAGCAGAUAAAGAAGCUUGGGUAAUAGAAAAUAUAAAGUCAAACCCUGAAACUUUCUUUAAGUUUGCCAAAGAGACAGCCACAGUGCACCAGAGAAUAGGACCCCUCUUCCAAAAAGAUGGCUCUCUUACAGGAAAUCGCACGAAGAUAAGUGAAAUACUGAACGAACAGUUCCAAAGUGUGUUCACUACAUCUCGAGGACACAGGCAAGUAAACAACCCCAAAAAAUUCUUUGCCACUUUACCUGCGGCCAAAGAGGCAAAAAUUGAGUACAUCAACAUUGAAGAUGAUGAUAUCACACUCGCCAUAGAUGAGAUUGACACAAACUCAGCUGCUGGACCUGAUGGAUUUCCAGCGAUCCUUCUCAAAUCGUGCAAACGAGCCCUUGCAAAACCGCUACAGCUUCUUUUUCAGAGCUUUCUUGCAAGUGGUAAGCUCCCAGUCAAAUUGAAAGAGGGGGUAAUAUGCCCUAUCCAUAAGGGAGGAAGCAGAGCAGAUGCUAAAAAUCAUAGGCCUAUCUCUCUGACCUCACAUCUGCAAAGUCAUGGAACGAAUAGUCGUCAAGAAACUAAUCAUGUUCCUUGAAGAAAAUGACUUGCUGACUGACACCCAGGUAGAAACUGCCUAACACAGCUCCUGCAACACUAUGACUGGGUGUUAAAACAGCUACUAAAUGGCUCAAAUGUGGAUAUGAUAUAUCUCGACUUUGCAAAAGCCUUUGAUAAAAUCGACCACGGUAUGAUUUGUCACAAACUGCGUGGUCUCGGCAUAGGCGGACAACUUGGAGAGUGGCUGCACAACUUCCUAAAAGAUAGAAGGCAGGCAGUUGUGAGCAAUGGAGCCACCUCCAAGGAAACACAAAUAACAAGCGGUGUUCCACAGGGCACUGUCUUGGGGCCACUACUGUUCAUAGUGGCCCUUUCAGGCAUGCCCUCAGUUGCUAAGAUGGCCACCUUUGCUAGCUAUGCAGAUGACACAAAAGUCUCCCACACAAUACAAAACCCUGGAAAUAUUGCACAUCUGCAACAGGAGUUGGAUACAAUAUACAAGUGGGCUGAGGACAACAACAUGCAGUUUAAUGCAGGUAAGUUCCAGGUCCUAUGGUACACUACUAGAAACUCAAAUACAUCAUUUUCUAUAGCCUCAUAAAGUCUUACAUUAUUUGCUAAUGUCACAUUAUUUUGUUCAAUGCGAGGUGCAUUUUCUGCUAGUGAAAAACUUGUAAAGUAACGGAUACUCUCUGGGCAAUAUGUAUGGCGAAAAAACGAUCGUGACUGACGGUUUCGUUUCAGCCCAUCACUCGGUUAUAUUUCCUCACUGCUUCCAUAAUCUUGAAACAUUCCAGUAGCUUCUAACGGUAGGUUUAUCAUCCCUAUCAACUACUUUUGUAAAUAAGUUCUUUUCAGAUUAUAUGCGUUGAUUGGUAAACUGUGCAGAAAAGUGGUAUUCGUGGGGAUAUAUUCCACUCUCACAUUAUCAGAAAGAUUAUAUAAAACACUGUUUGGUUCAGUGUGUUGUCUAAAAAGAGAAAAACGUUGUUACACUGUACCUACCAACAGUAAAGCAAAAAAAUUUGUCAACCAGAAAAAAAGACUGCAUCCUAUCUAACAGCUGUUUCCACUGCCAAUGUUCUUUGGAAUUACCAUUAUGAUGCUAAGAGAAUACUUUUCAUAGUUGGUAAUAAAACCUAUUUGAGUCAUGGAGUUUCAUUAGAGAGGAAAAUACAUAAAUAAAAUGAAGAGACAAGAAAAGAAGGAAAGGUUGAAUAUGGUGAUAGUCUUGUCAUAUUGCGUGUAGGGCCAUUGGACGAUAAGUAAAUGACCAAAAUAUAAAAUAAAAGGGGUAUUUGGUGGGAUAUUCCUAUGUACGAAGGGUGCAUAGUUUAGAAAAAUAAUAGCUAUUUACGCAGACAGGGUAGGUCAAAGGAGGAGUUAAAAUACAAUACAGUGUUAGAAAUAAUAAUUACGUUUAGAGUACUAUAAGUAUAAGUAUUUACCAUAAUAAAUUGCUUAUCGAUUUAAUAUAAUGUUUCACUUACUACUAGUAGGCAUUUCAAUCAAUCCACCUAUUGUCCAAAGUAGGUAAAUUAUUAAUAAAUAAUAAUUGACGUAUAUCAAUUGUUGUUCAAUUUUAUCUCCAUUUUCUGUUUUCUUUAAAUUUUGAUUCCUGAUAAACUCCUGUUUAUCCUUGUCUUUACCUAUCAUUCAUGAGCAAAGCAUUUUUGCCCAUGUUUAAAUAUAGUUAAUAUACCGCUAGUAUUUUGAAUACUUUUAUCCCUUAGACGGUUAUUUUAACCUCUAACUCAACUAACCUUAUAUAUAUAUAUUAACCGGUGUUGUAUUAACCGGUGUUGUUCAAACGAUGAAUAGCUUUGCGUAAACCAUGGUCCGUUUUGUUCUCUUUCUGUAUUAUCAUCUUAUAAUCAUCUCAUAUUAAUUACUUUUAUGACUUGUAUUACUACCUCAGUCAAUCUAAUUGUAUAUAUUUGUCGUUACCUGUCAUAAAUAGCCUUUUUUUUAUUUGCAAUGUGCAUUUUCGUUGAUUUUUCAUAUUUUACCCUUACAUUUCCACGUGUAUUUUAUAUUUUCUUUUCGUAACAUAUUUCUACUAUAUAUACUGUGUGUGUGUGUGUGUGUUAAUUCGGAUCAAUUAUAUGUAUAGGCACGCGCGCCACAUGCACCCUCAGACAUAUAUAUAUAUUUCAGGGUUGUUUCCCCCGUAGAAUUAGUUCUGAAGACAUUUUGCGUCUUCGCUACGAGCCCAGUUUCAAUAAGUUUCUCUUGGCUUACUAUAUUAUGUUAACAACGAUUUAAUAAUGUUUUGCAUGCAGAUUGCUUCCAUCCGUCGUUCUUGAGACACCUGUUCGUUGUUUUUAUUCGCUACAUUCCUAUAUGUCUCAUAUAGUUUGUUAAGCUGUGUCAGCACUGAUAAGACUGUACUUCGAUAAGAUCGAAACAUAUCAGAAGUUACAAUCGUCCAUCUCAACAAUAAUUGCCGUUUGAAGCCUUUAUAUAAAACCCUAAGAUACAACUACACAAUAACGUGCCAAAGAUUUCAUCUUUCGAGAUUCGGUUUUAUCAACACAUUCACUCAUUCAGCGAGCCGGAUAAAAGUCUUGACAACCCUUUCCUGCUAUAUUUCUUUCUUUCUUUUUUUUUCUUUUUUUUUUUUUUUGACGGGUGCUUGUCGUUUUGUAAGAAUCAUCAAUUUGCCUUUAAAAUUAACAAGAAAAGUCAAUUGUAGAAUAUUCCUUGUUCUAUACAGUUACUAGCAUUCGCUGCAAGGUACAUUGCCAACUGCGCUCAAGUAUGAAAUUACUCAAUAACCCACAUGAGUCGGCACUCACGAUCUGAGCUCAAAUCUCACCAAGCUCAGCUUGGCAUUGAUCCUUUCGGGGUCGCUAAAAUAAGUACCAGUUAAGCUUUAGGGUCGAUGUAAUCGAAGAGCCCCCUACCUAAAAUUCCAGGCCUUGUGUCUCUAGAAGAAAGGACUAUUAUUAUUAGCAGUAGCAGCAGAAGCAACAGCAACAGCAGUAGCAGUAGUAUUAGUAGUAGUAGUAGUAGUUACCGCGUCGGGAAAAUGCUUAGCAGCAUUUCUUCUGACUUUACGUUCUGAGUUCAAAUGCCGCCGGUGUCGAUAAAAUAAGUACCUACUGAACAAUAGGGUCGAUGUCAUUGACUUAUCCCUUCCCCGGAAUUGCUUUCUUCACGCCAAAUUAUAAAACCAUUAUUAUUAUUAUUGCUAUUAUUCUUAUUGAGUGAGAGAGAAGCGCAUGUCAGCAAAGUGACACUAGGUACAAUUAAUUAUACGAAGCCCAAUAUACCUAUCAUGACUGCCCGUCUGAUAAGGGUACACCAAGCACAUCCGUCAUAACUACAUAACUACAUGGUGAUCUUAUAUCAAAAUAAACAGCGCAUGACCUUGCAAGUGGGACCCAGUAGCCCAUCCUGUUCAAAAGGUCCCUGAAUAUGGUUUGUUUAAGGAUGAUGAAGGAAACACCCAUGUUUCCAGAGGUGAAUUAUUCAAGCCCCAAAGAAUUCCUCUCAACACAUGGCUAUGAUGCACCCCCCCCCCAAUACUUCUGCUCGUGAUCGGAGAUGCACAUAUCGUCAACCACUAAGGGACAUGCUCAACUGGUUAAGGUCAAACAACUGACAAGCAAAUGUGUAGUAUUGAGUAGAAUAUUUGGUGGAGCCCAUCUUUUAUACCAAGACAAAACAAUGUACAUGAUAACACUUCCAAUCAGCUAAGAUCAGAAGCCACGAGGGCCACUGCCUGGUAUUGCAUCAGGGCAUUUAUUAUUAUUAUUAUUAUUAUUAUUGCUGUUGCAGUUAAUUAUAUAAGUAUAUAGACAGGCAGGCAGACGGACAGACUGACAGAUGGAUGGAUGGAUGGAUGGAUGGAUGGAUGGAUGGAUGGAUGGAUGGAUAGAUAGAUAGAUAGAUAGAUAGAUAGAUAGAUAGAUAGAUAGAUAGAUAUGCGUAUGCAUAUAUAUCUAUCUUUGUACAGCACUAAUAUCCUAAUAAACAGUUUCAUACAGCACUACAUUCAUUCAAACUGUUUCAUUCGAAAUCCUUUAUUCCUCCUAAUGUAAUCUAAACACAUCACAUAAUCUCAUCGAGAGUAUUGAUAAUGCCAAUAUCACCUAACAUUCAACAUAUUAGACGUGAGUUCGUGAUUGCACUUUGUUGUUGUCGGCUAUUGUUCUCGUUCAUUACGACAGGCGUCACAGACACAUUUUGUAGGUCUGUACUUAGAGCUUACAUCAGGAGCUGAUUUCUCACUUUUCUCUUCAGUUAAAUAGAAUAAGCAAUAUCAAAAGACAAAUUGUAAGUAACAGCAUCGGUAAGAAUUAUCUCGAGUCGAGGACUUAAAUGGUACUUAUUUCAUCGACCCCGAAUGGAUGAGAGGCAAAGUUGACCUCGGCGGAAUCUGAACUCAGAACAUAAAACCGGAGAAGGCGGCGAGCUGGCAGAAUCGUUAGCACGCCGGACGAAAUGCUUUGCGGUGUUUCGUCUGUCUUUACAUUCUGAGUUCAAAUUUCGCUGAGGUCGACUUUGCCUUUCAUUCUUUCGGGGUCGAUAAAUUAAGUACCAGUUACGCACUGGCGUCGAUGUAAUCGACUUAAUCCCUUUGUCUGUCCUUGUUUGUCCCCUCUAUGUUUAGCUCCUUGUGGGCAAUAAAGAAAAAAGAAGGUAAAACCGGAAGAAAUGCUAACAACCCUGCCAGCUCGCCGAUUUGAUUAUAAUAGUAAUCCUUUCUACUAUAGGCACAAACACUGAAAUUUUAGGGGAGGAGGUAAGUCGAUUACAUCAACCCCAGUACACAGCUGGUACUUAUUUUAUCCACCCCCGAAAGGAUGAAAGGCAAAGUCGACCACGGCAGAAUUUGAACUCAGAACGCGAAGACGAACGAAAUGCCCAAAGCAUUUUGCUCGACGCACUACCAAUUCUCUCAGCUCGCCGCCUUAUAAAUAAUAAUAAUAAUAACAACAAUGAUAAUAAAUGCUUUCUGUGUUAUUAAUGUUAGCAACAAUAACGUCAACAACAACAGCAACAUGUGUCGACAGUUUAAUGAAAGAAAAACAUUUUGCUAAGACAUAAAAAUGAAGAACAGUGAUUUUUCAAUCAUUAAUGUGUGUUUUUGCGUUUAUAGUAAGAAAGGAAGGCGGCGAGCUGCCAAAAUCCUUAACACGCCGGGGAAAAUGCGUAGCGGCAUUUCGUCCGUCUUUACGUUCUGAGUUCUAAUUCCACCGAGGUCGACUUUGCCUUUCAUCCUUUCGGAGUCGAUAAAAUAAUAACAGUUGAGUACUGGAGUCGAUGUAAUUGAUCCUUCCCCACUCCCACCGACUUGAAUUUGUUGGUUCUGUACCAAAAUUUUGAAACCUAAUAUAUAGUAAGAAAAGAAGGGCACGAGCAGGCAUAAUCGUUAGCAAGCCGGACAAAAUGCUUGGUGGUUUUUCGUCCGUUUACAUGUACUGAGUUCAAAUUCCGCCAUGGUCGACUGUACCUUUCAUUCUUUUGGAGUCGAUAAAGUAAGUACCAGUUAAACAAUGGGUCAAUGUAAUCAACUUAACCCCAUAACAAAAAUAGGUGGCCCUAUGCCAAAAUUUGAGACCAGUAAACUCUUAACUCUUUAACUUGUUUCAGUCAUUUGACUGCGGCCAUGCUGGAGCACCGCCUUUAGUCGAGCAAAUCGACCCCGGGACUUAUUCUUUGUAAGCCCAGUACUUAUUCUACCGGUCUCUUUUGCCGAACCGCUAAGUGACGGGGACGUAAACACACCAGCAUCGGUUGUCAAGCAAUGCUAGGGGAGCAAACACAGACACACAAACACACACACAUAUAUAUAUAUAUAUAUAUAUAUAUAUAUACAUAUAUACGACGGGCUUCUUUCAGUUUCCGUCUACCAAAUCCACUCACAAGGCAUUGGUCGGCCCGAGGCUAUAGCAGAAGACACUUGCCCAAGGUGCCACGCAGUGGGACUAAACCCGGAACCAUGUGGUUGGUUAGCAAGCUACUUACCACACAGCCACUCCUGCGCCUAUGUAUGUAGUAAUUAAGAAAUUAUUCCAUAUUUUAGCUUGGUUAAAGAUACUAUUGACUAUUUUAACUUCUAUCAUAAACCGACCACAGUUUUAUUCGAGUGGAAAUUAAUUUUCAGACAACAAAUGCUAAGUAUAUGAAAGAUGCACAAUAGUUAUUUAUCUAUCUUUUAGCCUUUAUUUGUUUCACUCAUUGGACUACGGUCAUGCUGGGGCACUGACUUGAAGGGCUUUUGUUGAACAAAACCUUUCCAACACUUAUUUUUAAUUCUGGCAUUUAUAAUAUCGGUUUCUAUUCCCGAACCGCUACGUUAUGAAGACGUAAAUAAACCAGCGCUCCGGUCUUCAAGCAUGCAUGUGCAUCUAUGUGUGUAUGUGUGUGUGCAGAGAGAGUGAGAGAGAGAGGAGGGGGAGAGAAACUUAGAUAGAUAGAUAGAUAGAUAGAUAGAUAGAUAGAUAGAUAGAUAGAUAGAUAGAUAGAUAGAUAGAUGUUGGACUUCUGAACCCGUUUCCGCGUACCAAAUUCAUUCUCAACACAUUGGUCAUCGUAACCAAUGUGCUGCGCAUUGGGAACUGAAUCUCAAACUACAUAACAAAUUUCUUAGCCAUACAAUCAUGCCUGGAACUCAUCCCAAUACUUGCUUUUAGUUAUUUAGGCCUGCGUUGUGUGUGCGUGCAUGCAAUUACGGUACAUACAUAUAUACAUAUAUAUAUAUUAUCAUUAAUAUUACUAUUACUAGCGGGACCUGUGAACAUUUCACGGAAUUAACGGUGAACCUGUUGGGUUAUUUCUGAAAACUUUAUCAAAAAAAACCUGAAAGCGUAGCCUGUGUUGUGUUUGUAUGGAAAGACAGUCGCUCAUCUGCUAAUCAGUGGGGAGUGAAAGAAAUUGGAAUACGAUGAUUAUUUAAUGCACUUUAUAUGUACACUUUGUGGAGGCGCAAUGGUCCAGUAGUUAUGGCAGCGGACACGCGGUCGGAGGAUCGCGGUUUCGAUUCUCAGACCAGGCGUUGUGUGUGUUUAUUGAGAGAAAAUACCUAAAAGCUCCACGAAGCUCCGGCAGAGGGUGGUGGUGACCCAUGUUGUACUCUUUCGCCACAACUUUCUCUCACUCUCUCUUCCUGCUUCUUGAGUAACGCUGCGAUGGACUGGCGUCCCGUCCCGCUGAGGGAACACAUGCACCACAGAAACCGGGCCCAUGAGCCUAGCUAGGCUUGAAAAGGGCGACGAUAUAUAUACACUUUAUGUACUUUAUGCACAAUUUUUUAGACUUAAUACCCAGCACUCGCAAAAUAAAUAUUCACUCCAAUUUUUCCAUUUUUCCCCAUAUAAACAUGAUACAACCUUCAGUUAAAUUGCAAAUAUAUAUACCACGUAAAUAAGCGUGAAUAUUUCACGGAAUUGCACUUACGUACAUGCAUUAAAUGAUAGGUAAUAUAAAAAAAAAAAACUUAGUUCAAUUAAAAAAAUACACUUCUCACUAUACAGUCACCGCCGCCACCUCCACCAUCAUCAUCUUUGUCUCCCUCGCCCUCUUUCUCUUUCUCUCUCUCUCUACCUUUCUUUAACCUCACCAUUAGAACAUUACUCCUCUACUAAAAUUAUAUCUUUAACUCUCCUCCUCUAUAUCAUCACUAAUUUCAACUAACUUUUUUCAACCACGUAAUAAAUAUUACGUUCCCCCUACCUCACGUCAUGGACGCUUCUCUCUCGGUCUUUUUCUUUCUCCGUCUUUCUGUUUCACUCUUCUCCUUAUCUUAUUUCUCUCACCUUUUCUUUCUUUUCUCUUUCCUUUCAAUUAAUCACGUGAAAACGUUACAAUUACAUUCCCUCUACCUCACCACGUGGACGCUUCUCUCUCCCUCUUUUCUUUCUCCAGCUUUUUCUCUAAUCACGUGAAAGUUGUUACCGACGGGCUAAAUAACGGAACAACAAACUGAAUUAUCAUAAGAUGCAUAGGCGGCAGGAUGGCAGAACUUAGCACACCGGGCGAAAUGCUUAGCAGUAUUUCGUCCGUUUUUACGUUCUGAGUUCAAAUUCUGCCGAGAUCGACUUUGACCUUCAUCCUUUCGGGGUCGAUAAAUUAAGUACUAGUCGAUGUAAUCAAUUAUCCCCCUCCCCUGAUAUUACAGGCCUAUAGUAGAAAGGCUUAUAAUCAUUAUGCUUAGGUAUAGUAAUACUAAUAAUCUUGUGUUAGAAUUCAUGAUAUAUAUGUUAGUUAGUUAGUUAAUUUGGCUCAAAAGCAAAUAGCAAGGCCAUGUAGGGGGACAUGGAGUUAAGUACAGGGUGGUGUUCAUGUAAAGAGUUCAGGCCACUUGAGGUCCAGGGAGGCUUUGAACAAAGCGGUCGUCGGCAUCUUCACCAUCUCGUCUGGCUGCUUGUUCCACGGAUCCGCAACCCGGACGGAGAAAGCUCCUCUCCUUCGAUUGAGAUGAAAUCGUCGCAGGUAGAGCUUUUCAGAAUGACCCCGCAGCCGACGCUCUGGAGCAGGAGUGAAGAACAGCUCUUUCGAGAGGUUACACUUUCCGCUUAUGAUGUUGUGGGCGAGAAUGAGAUCACCACGGCGGCGGCGUUUUUCAAGAGAAUAAAGGUCGAGCGUCCUCAGCCUUUCUUCGUAGGACAAAUUUUUGAGACCAUGAACCAUGCGGGUAGCCAGCUUCUGGACUCUUUCGAGAUGCUGUAUGUCUUUGAGGAGAUAAGGAGAAGAGGCUUGAAUCCCAUACUCCAAUAUGGGUCUCACCAGCGUGACAUAGAGUGGUAGGAAUAUGGCUGCUGUGAGCAUUCCGAAUGACCGUCGAAUCAAGAACAGAAUUCCGCGUGCUUAUGCUACAUAAAGAAGUGUCAGUCGAGUACAGAGAAGCAAUAAGAAAUUAGAAUGAGAACGGAGUCAAAAAUUAUGUACUGGAUUUCAUUAGCUUAGAGUUGUUUCUGCCAAAGGAUGCCAUGAACUCAUAGUUGUAUGUUUGAGUAUGACCCUAUAGCUUCAUCGCAUCUUCAUAUAUAUUAAUACAGGCCUAUAUAUAUAUAUAUAUAUAUAUAUAUAUAUAUAUAAGGAUAAGAUCGUUAUUUAAAUAUCGAACUUAUCAAGUGGCCAGCAUGGAAAUAAAAACCUUCAAAGGUAAUAAUUAUUAUUAAAAUUAUAAUUUAGGGUAUAUCAGAGAUACCGCCACGCUUGAAAUAGCAGUCAAAACUUGACUCUAAAACCACAUUAAAAGUUCAUACAGCACCAGGAGAGAAGACAUUAAAAGACAAAAUAAACUGGCAAAAAAUUCGUGGAUAAUUCCAGAUUCCGGAUUUCUGGCUCUACAUAAGAAAUGCUUUGCCUCCUCAGUGAAUAUAUAUAUAUAUUCUUCUGUUAUUUGUUUCAGUCAUUUGACUGCGGCUGUGCUGGAGCCUUUAGUCGUACAAAUCAACGCCAGCAACUAUUCUUAUUCUAUCGGCCUCUUUUGCCGAAACGCUAGUUUACGGGGAAGUAAACACACCAACAUUGGUUGUCAAGCGAUACUGGGGGACAAACACAGACACGCAAACACACACACACACACACACACACACACACACACACACACAUAUAUAUAUAUAUAUAUAUGUACAUAUAUUUAUAUAUACAUAUAUGUUCAUAUGUAUCUAUGUAUAUAUAUGCAUGUAUGUAUAUAUAUGUAUGUAUAUAUAUAUAUAUAUAUGUAUGUAUAUGUAUAUGUAUGUAUAUGUAUAUAUAUAUAUAUAUGUAUGUAUAUAUAUAUGUAUGUAUGUAUCUAUAUAUAUGUGUGUGUGUGUGUGUCUGUGUGUGUGUGUGUGUGUGUGUCUGUGUGUGUGUGGAGGCGCGUGGCUUAGUGGUUAGGGUGUCAGCAUCAUGAUCGUAAGAUUUUGUUUUUGAUUCCUAGACCAGCCAACGCGUUGUGUUCUUGAGCAAAAAUGUCCCCCUAAAUUACAAAAUUAGGGGAGGGGGAAUCUGCCCUAUUUUUCAAAUCCUGGCAGCACACUGAAGCUGGAAGCAGGAUAAUAAUCUAAUUCUACACUUUAUCACAUUCAAGAAUAUAAACACGUUUUUAUGCACAGCACACGCUGAGUAAAAAAGAAACACUUCUUUUCACCAGCACACUGGGGUCGACACUUCGAAAACCACAGUGGUGUCUCUCCCUAGCGUGAAGCUUCCUAACUCGGACAUGUGCGCAAACACCACUUUGCUGGAACUAUGAAGCGCACAGUUCUAUAAAAGAAUUUUUGUAUUUUUUUCAUAAACUAGGGGAUGGCUACUGACAUUAAGCUUAAGGAUUAUAUAAUGUACAAGCAUAAAGAAAGAAUUAAAGAAAAUAAGGGACUCAUUAUAUUAAAUGUCAUCGAUAAUAUCGAGUGGAAAUAGGAGUACUGCAGUUCCGUAGUGCCUAUACACGAGCCGCCACUGCUCAUGGUUUUACUCAUGCGGGUGUGUGAAGCGAACUGGGGAGUCAAGUAUUAGAUAGUCUUUCUUAAAGUAUAGUCUUGGAGAGGGAUCACACACACACACAUAUUUAUGUGUGUACGUGUGUGUAUGUGUGUAUGUAUAUAUAUAUUCUGAGACCCCCUUCGGUCACAACACAGACCAUGGGAUUGCACCUAGAAAGUUACCCUCCCAGGCACAAGGUUUUUUAUGGAAGACCAGCAGUCGCCCAUACAUACCGGCUUCCUCUCUCCAAGCCCCCAAUGUUAUCCAAGGGAAAGGAAAAGAGGCCGAUACAGCUUGGUACUUGUGAUAUCGCAACUCAUUUCUACAGCUGAGUGAACUGGAGCAACGUGAAACAAAGUGUCUUGCUCAAGAAAACAACACGCAGCUCGGCCCGGGAUUCGAGCUCACAACCUCACGAUCGUAAGCUCGACGCUGUAAUCACUGAGCCAUGCCACUUCGCAAUUCAUAUAUAUAUAUAUAUAUAUAUAUAUAUAUAUAUAUAUAUAUAUGUGACCUCGUGUGUACCGUUGGCGAUUUUUUUUCCUCUGUCUUCCCUUCUCUGGAUCUUUCCUUCUCCUAUGUUUCCGACGAAGAGCUCCGCUCGAAACGUUAAACCCUCCUUCUUUCCUUCUUUCCUGAGCGUCCAAUAAUACUAUAUUUGUUCCACGUCCUCGCGUUGUUGUGUUUUUUUAUGCUUUCUUGUUUGGAUUAACUCAUCUCACGUCUGAUCAACUUUGCAGUGUUUGAUCAAUCAGCCUAUUAUAUAUAUAAGUGAAAAAAAUGGUGGAUUUUUUCUCUUAUGAGGUUUUUCACGCUAAUUACUUGAUAAAUUCUUAUGAAGAUUUUAUCUUAUUUAAAAAAAAAAUAUAUGUAUAUAUAUAUAUAUAUAUAUAUAUAUAUAUAUAUAUAUAUAUAUAUAUAUAUAUAUAUAUAUAUAUGCGAUGGGCUUCUACUCAGUCCCUGUCGACCAAUUUCACUCCUAAGGUCUUGCUUACCAUACUCCCACCCCCGAAGCCUUCGCAAAAUGCUAUGUAAUUGAAUCUUAACUAACCAACGUGGAGCGUUUUACAAUUUCUGUUUGAACUCCGUGGUUUACGCUCAUCAACGCUAAACAGACAAGAACAAAAACUGUUUACCUACAGAAAACUCAAUUGCGAUCUCGAACGUUAAACUUGCAACUAUUACGUCUCACUCCUCUUAACACUUACCCUCACUCUCUCUCUCUCUUUCUUUUCGUCUUUCUCUCUCUCUUUGUUUUCCCCCUUCCUAUCUAUAUCUAUCUGUCUAUCUCUCCCUUUACCUGUUAAUAUUUUCUUCGUCUCUUUCUUUUCUAGCUCUGCAUUUAGUUCACACUAUUCAUAGUGUCUCUUCUUCUUCUUCUUCUUCUUCUUCUUCUUCUUCUUCUUCUUCUUCUUCUUCUUCUUCUUCUUCUUCUUCUUCUUCUUCUUCUUCUUCUUCUUCUUCUUCGACAGACAGACAGACAGACAGACAGACAGACAGGCAAGCAGACAGGUAGAUAGAUAGGUAGAUGGCUGGAUAGAUAGAUAGAUAGAUAGAUAGAUAGAUACAUACAUACAUACAUACAUACAUACAUACUUCUAUGACAUUCCUUAUUUCUUUCUUCAUUUCACUCUUUCUUUCUUUAUCCUUUCUACUUCUGAGAUAGUUUUCUUCACUUCUUUAUUGCACGGUCAUAAACGACAUCAUAUUCGAGUUAUUGUUAAAGAGAAGGAUUGUUAAACAAGAAGGAUUCCACCAGAGAACAAAUAGAUUUAUUUGGGGAUAGGCUUUAUUUCCAGCUUUCUAACAAAAGCCUCCACCAGUUUCCUUUUAACAAACAGUAGUUAUACACGCACAUUUCUAUAGCACUGCAGUCUGUGUAUGAAUCAGUAUGGUGUACGUUUUUUUUAGGAUGCAAUAAGGAAAACUUCUUAGUGUGCAACGAUUGGACACAGGGAUACAAUUAUUGUUAAACUUUACUAAUCGUUGAUCAGUUUUAUGUGUGGGUGACUGGAAAGAGAGAGAAAGAGAGAGAGAGAGAGAAAGAGGGAGAGAAAGACAAAAAGAAAGAGAGAGAGAGUGAGGGUAAGAGUUAAGAGGAGAGAGACAUAAUAGUUACAAGUGGUGUUUGCGCACAUGUCCGAGAUAGGAAGCUUCACGCUAGGGAGAGACAGCACUGUGGUUCACGAAAUGUCGACCCCAGUUUUAAGCCUAUUAGAUUUGUUGAAAUUGGACCCUGCACUAAGAGAGGGCCUCGCCUACACACUCGAGCAGAGGACGCUAUGAUGAAUUUUUUGUAUAUCAUUGUGAUUAAUAAUGGAGCCUCAAGCCUUCCGUGCUUUUUGGCUGGGACUGGCGUGCAACACGAAGCAUAAAUCAUUAAUCUUCAGCUUUUGUAGAGUAGAGGACCCGACUGACAAUUCUCUAAUUGGGCUUCCCACUUCCUAGCGCCUGUCCUGCUGCAAACUUUAUUUGUUGGGGUGAUAAAAUAUAAACUGGGACUUCGUCCGUCGGUUCCAAUUGAUCCGUUCAACGGAACAGCCUGCUCGUGAAAUUAACGUGCAAGUGGCUAAGCCCACCACAUACAUGCGUCACCUUAAACGUAGUUCUCAGGAAGACUCAGCAGGACACAAAAUGUGGCAAGGCUGACCCUUUGAAAUACAGUUACAACUCAGUUGUGUAAGCUGAGCGGACUUGCUCAAGAACAUGACACGCUGCUAGGAAUCGAACUUACGACCCUACGAUCGUGGACUAAAUACUCUAAUCACUAAGCUACGUACUUUCACUAAAGAAAAAUAUAAACAGAACUGUUAACUACUGCAACAUGGGGCAGUAAACUGCGUUGAGCUGUAAUCUGCGUUGAGCUGUAAUCUGCGUUGAGCUCUGGCUGUGAACUGAUCCGACAUAAUAGGCUGAUUGAUCAAACACUGCAAAGUUGAUCAGACGUGAGAUGAGCUUCCUAUUGUAUCGGUUGAUCAGAAGUUAGAGAAACACAGUGUGCGUAGGAGGUUAUCUGAACACCAACAUUAUGGGAAGAUUUGAGGAUUAGUGAAAGCUCCUCGUUAGUUUCAACUUGAACAGUUCAAGUGUCAGACCAGACGACUCUUCAAAUUUUAAAAUGAAAAAGAAACUUUAAAGAGAGAGUGAGAGAGGGACGGACAGAGAGACAGAAACAGAGAGAGAGAGACAGAUAGACAGAGAGAGAUGUAACAAAUAAAGCUUUCAAAAUGAAGUCAGCUUAAGAAUGCAGUGCACCCACAAUAAAAUAAAAGAGUUAUUUAUAUAAACUGGUAUCGACUUCCUGUCUCCAAAACGCAAUCCACUAAUUAAUGGAUUCAAAAAUAUUUAUAAAUUUUAAUGUGUGUGUGUAUACAUGUACACGCAUACAUACAUACAUAAUGCAUACAUACAUACAUACAUAGAUACAUACAUAUAUAAACAUAUAUGUAUAUACAUACAUUUAUAUCUGUAUUACAUUAUAUAUAUAUAUAUGCAUAACAUGCAUGUUAUAUGUAUGGUAUGGUGUGUAUACACAUAUACGCACACAGUGCAUUUUAAUAUGUGGUUUGUUGACACGGCUUACAUCCUGCACUGGCAAUGUGUUUUUCAUAUUCCGGCAGAACGAAAUCUGCUUUCAUUCCUACGAGGCUUAACUACAGUUAAAAGAAUGUCACAAGGGAUUUAGUAAAUGUUAUUGCCAGGAUUAUGACACAGUAAAAUAAAACAAAACCCAGUCUUCGGUAAGGCAAAUAACAAUCUUUAAAAUACUGAAACAUAUUUCUAGUUUGUAAUGCAUACACAUAUGUUCACACACACACACACACACACGCACACACGCACGCACGCACGCACGCACGCACACACACACACACACACACACACAUACACACACACAUCACACACACACACGUGUACACGUGCGCACACACACACACACCUAGUUUGUGUAUUUUCUAUAUUUGUGUGGGUGUAUUUUUAUGUAUUUUGGGGUUAUUUCAUUCGUACUUGUUAAUUGAAUUAUGAAAAUGACCAAUAAUAUUAGUGGGAAACUCGAAUUGCCAAAAUUAUCUAAUCGACAGAAACUGUAACUACAUUGAUUAGAUUAGAUUCACUCACUUUGCUAGUUUGAGAAAAUCUUGGCACAUAGAAGUUGGUCUGUGGUUGCAGAAUAUUUAGAUUUUCCGAGAUGAAACAGGUACCACCAGGGAUGAUAUCAAAAGUGAACAGUAGCAUCAACCUAUCUAGGUAAGUUAAAGCUAAUCUUUCACAAGGGUCCUUCUAGGUAUUUUAACUCGAUCCCGUUUCUGUGGAUUUAAGUGAAUGAGCAAUAAUCCUAUCUUUCUACUCUGGUGCCUAAGAGCUAAGCGAAAGGGUGCUGCAAAUGUUUAGAAAGUCUAAGAACUAGAAACACAACGAAAUAACUCCAGUGAAUUUGAACUCUCGGUCGUUGAAUUCAUAGUUUGUGGUUCUCAAAUUCUUAUUAUUUAUUAUUCAUGAUGCAUUUGAGACUAAAGCGAAAUAUUUUAGCGCACUAGCGUUAAAUGUCGCGAAUAUAUUUUUAGGGAAAAAAAAAUAGUUAUUAGACAUUGUAACCCACAAAUAUUGAUUUCAAAUUUUGGAACAAGGUCAACAAUCUCGGGGGUAGAAGAUAAGUCGAUUACAAUAACCCUAAUGCUCAACUGGUACUUACUUUAUCGACCCCGAAAGGAUGAAAGGCGGAGUCGGCCUCGGCGGAAUUUGAACUCAGGACGUGGAAACGGGCCAAAUGCCACUAAGCAUUUUGCCCUACGUGUUAACGAUUCUACCAGUUCGCCAACCUAAUUUAAGCUAUUAAUAUUAUUAACUUAGAUUACAGACAAUCAUUAAGUGUUUCUUUCCUCAAGAAAUUAAUGAGAAAAUUUCAUUGUACAUUUUACAAACAUUUUCAAUAUCAUUUUAUUUUCGCCGUGAAUCUAGCUACAAGUUGCAGACCACCGUUUGGGAAUCAUUAGUCUAAUAUAACCAUUCUGCCGUUUCUAGAUAAAGAAUAUUCUAAGCUGAACCAAUAAAUUGACAUUUGUUAUCUAUUUGUAUCAGCAGACAUGAUAAAUGUAAUCCAGACUACCUGACUUGUUUUUAACAUUGGAAUAUAAAUUAAUUGUUUCCCUAAUCUUCAAGCACACAUGUAUUAAGGAAAAGUUUUUGGCCUUUUUCAUUCUUACUCUAUUAUCGAACGACAACUCUUCGACUUUCCUACGCCAACCAUUUCUCCUAAGUACAAUUUCCUCCCUUCCAAUCUUUUCUCAUUUCCUCCUUCCACCUUUCUGCUAUUUCUUUCCUUUUUCCUCCCUCAUUGAUGCAAUCUUCCCCUUUCUAAAUUCCAUCCUCUCCGAGAGUUUUCAGCCGCGCCUGCUCCAAUAUCUUUUCCUCGGUGUCACACCCACUCUCACCGCAGCCCGCAGAUCUUAGAUUUAAACUUCCAUUUCUUUUCUACUUCCCCCUUCUCACUUGUAAACAGAUUCGUCUGUCUCACUUUAUUCCUUGUUAUUGCGAAAUAAAAUCAACAACAACGAAGCACACACCACCACCUACCAUUAACAGCAACAACAACAACAACAACAACAACAACAAACUGCGCAAAAAAAAUAUGUGUGUCAAUUUUAAGUGUGUUAAGGGCCAAAUUAUCAAUGUGUUUCGUAGAACUAGUAGUAGGACAAUAAACAGAGUUGACGUUGUACUUGGUGACACUAGUAAAGCAGAACAGUUUACUAAUACAAGCGUAAUACAAGUACCAUAGUGAAGACACCAACUUCACGUGUAACACUACGUACUUAGCUAUCUGUUGCUUAGUCACGCUUUCUUCACACCCCCUUUUCUCACUCUCCCUGUCUCUCUCUCUCUCUUUCUCACUUUCAUUCUUUCUUUGCAUGUUUGUGUUUGUAUAUAUAUAUAUAUAUACACACACACACAUAUACCUAUAUGUAAUAUAUAUAUAUAUAUAUAUAUAUAUAUAUAUAUAUAUGUGUGUGUGUGUGUGUAUACAUAUAUAUACCUGUAUAUAAAUAUUUAUAUGUAUACAUGCAUAUGCACACACACACACAAACACAUGUAUAUCUUUACAUUUAUGUGUGUGUAUAUAUAUAUAUAUAUAUACAUUCAAUCGUUAAACCCUCAUUCUUUCCUUCUUUCCUGAGCGUCCAAUAAUACUAUAUUUGUUCCAUGUCCUCGCGUUGUUGUGUGUUUUUUUUGUGCUUUCUUGUUUGGAUUAACUAUAUAUAUAUAUAUAUAUAUAUAUAUAUAUAUAUAUAUAUAUAUAUUCAUAUAUAUAUUUAUAUAUAUAUAUGCACGCACACACACAUACAAGUAUACAUAUAUAUACACACACACGCACACACGAUGAAAAGUUCCUGGCUUUACGCGUGUCGCGAAAGGCCUGGUUGUGGGGCGAAUCUUCCGGGUUCUUUUACAGUACUUAGAGAAACUGAAGGACCGCUGCAAUAAAUGUGUGAAUCUGAGAGGAGAAUAUGUUGAAUAUAUUUUCUUUUACCCAAAACCAGGAACUUCGCGUGUGUGUGUAUGCAUAUAUAUAUAUGCAUAUAUAUGUAUGUAUACAGGAUGUAUAAUGUGUAUAGAUUGUCGAAUAAACGUACAUUGCGGAAUUCCUGUGACUUUUAACCUUACGAGGUCAAUAAAAUAAAUACGGAAAUCCGUAGAAUUAAUUAGGACCCCUUCAAUGUGGCGGUACCUUAAUACGGCAGCAGUCCAGUGUCUGGCAUUAGUAAAAAUGUAUGUGUGUGUGUGUGUGUGUGUGUGAAUGAGUACGUGUGUGGUAGAGAGGGGGAGCAGAAAGAGAGAAAGAAUGAGAGAGAAAGAUGGGCAUAUAUGUGUAUGUCUGUUUAUCUGCAUGUCCACGUAUGUUUAUGUAAUACAGAAAGAUAUAGCUAUAGCUAAACACUUAAGACGGUCUCUUCAAAUUCAUCAAAUACAAGAUUCUAUCCGACGGCAGCAUUCUUGGGUAAGUAUCUUAUAUCAUAGUUAUUUUAUGAUUAGACACUGACCGUAUAGAAGUGGAUUGGGCGGGUAGUAUCUGUGAUUCGAUUUUUCAUCUUUAGCUGGGCAGUGUUACGCGUAUUGUAUCGGAAAUGUCUCUGGAAUACUCAGGCACUUAUGCUCUACUGUAUAUACAGUAGUGUAUAGUAUCUAUGGGUGGCGGCGCAAUGGCCCAGAGGUCAGGGCAGCGGACUCGUGGUCGAAGGAUCGAUUCCCAGACCGGGCAUUGUGUGUGUUUAUUGAGCGAAAACAUCUAAAAAAGUUCCACGAGGCUCAGGCAGAGGGUGAUCGCAACCCCUGUUGCACUCUUUCGCCACAACUUUCUCACUCUCUCUUCCUGUUUCUUGAGUAACUCUGCGAUGGACUGGCGUCCCAUCCAGCUGGUGGGAACACAUACACCACAGAAACCGGGAAACCGGGCCCAUGAGCCUGGCUAGGCUUGAAAAGGGCGACGUUUUAUCGUAUAGUGUGUAUAAGCGUGUAUAUUGUUCUGUAUAGUGUGUUUAUUGUAUAUAUAUAGUGUUGUUAUUCAAACAUCAGAUAUUCGUUUCGCUGGAACCAUCGCGGAACUCACAAACUCACAAACAUGAAAAUACACACACACAAAUGUCAUAUGUAAGCACACACACACACACACAUAUAUAUAUAGGGGCAACGUUGCUGUGUUGUAAGAAGCUUGCUUCCCAAUCACAUGGUUCCGGGUUCAUUCCCACUGCGUGGAACCUUGGGCAAGUGUCUUCUGCUAUUGCCUCGACCGACCAAAGCUGUGUGAGUGGGUUUAAUAAACGGAAAGAAGCCCGUCGUAUGUGUGUGUGUGUGUUCACGUGUGUGUAUUUGUGUGUUUGUCUCCCCCACCAUCGCUUGACAACCGAUGCUGGUGUGUUUACGUCCCCAUAAUUUAGCGGUUCGGCAACAGAGCUCGAUAGAAUAAGUACUAGGCUUACAAAGAAUAAGUCCUGGGGUCGAUUUGUUCGACUAAAGGUGGUGCUCCGGUAUGGCCGCAGUCAGAUGAAUGAAACAAGUAAUAUAUAUAUAUAUAUAUAUAUAAAUCCUUAAAUCCUUAAAUCCUUAAAAAUGUUUUAACCCGAAGGCCGCGGCCAUGCUGGGGCACCACCGCUGAAUGAGCUACACUAAUAUGUGAAUCCACCUCUGAUACGUGGCACUUGAUCAACAAGGGAGUUCGAUGCUGCUGCCCGCAUCUGCGUCACCUGUCGUGAGGUAGGUUCAUCUGGGACUCCCAACAAGAAGAGAUCCAGUUUAGUUUUAAAGAAACGCACACCCACAUCAUGUAAGUCUCUCAGGCAUUUAGGGAGGAUGUUAAAGAGCUGUGGUCCUCUGAAACCCAAGCUGUUGCAGUAUCUGGACCUGUAUUUUGAUGGUGAUAUUGGAAUCUUUGGCAUCAACAAUGGAUUAAUGAAUCUUUGUCAUCAACAAUGGAUUAAUGGAGUCCAGAAUAAUGACAAUACUUUCGUGAAACGAUCGUAAGACGCAUUAAUUAACAAAUUUUUAAACUGUCAUGCUUCAUAUAUUUACAUACAUUUUUAAUACAAUACUAUUUCAGACAUAUAUAUCUUUGUGAGAAAUUUUUUUUUUAUAUUAAAUUUUAUGCUAUUAUUUCAAAAUAAUAACUGCUACCUUCAUUGGUCAUUUAUUGAUUAUUUAUAAUCUCUCAGAACUUGUCAUAUUUUUCUGUUUUUACGUUACUUCAUCAUAAUUAACUAUCCCAUUAUGCUAAACACAAUCUACUUUCCAUUAAAUAAUUUCGAAUAACCUCAGCGUAUUUUUAAUGAAAUAACCCAUGUUCGAAGAAUUGCUUUUCAACCUUCCUGCAGUUACUACCGCCUUACUCUUUCAUGGAUUUCUUAAAUAUUUCUUAUAUAUUUGAAGUUUUACUUUCAAAUUUAACAUAUAUUUUAAUUAUCUAUCUCCUCCCCCUCUACCACAAUCCCUUCUCCUUUUUCUUUUUCUUUUCCCCUUUCUCUUUUUCAAUGUUCUAUGUUCCCUCUAUGUUCUAUAUUCUCUCUAUGUUCUCUCCGCUCGAUCUAUCUACUCCUGCACUUUCCUUUUCUCUCCCUAUCUUUCUUCUUCAUUCCUUCCCUCGAUUCUUCUUUUUAUCCUUCUUUUCCGUUCUUCCUCUCCAUUUACUCUCCUAUCUCUCCCGUUGACUCCAGUUUAUUUUUUGAAACUUACGUCCAUAUCUUACCCAUGUGUGUGUGUGUGUGUGUGUGUGUGUGUGUGCAUGUAUGUAUACAUGCAUGCAUCAGCUGCACAACGUGUUCGUGAAUGCAGUUGAGUUUAAUAACAACCACAUCGCAUCACAACAGCUAGUCAUCGAUCUAUACAUACGUGCAGAUAUUUGACCUCGGCGGUUUAUCGGAAGUUGAACAAUCGAUGAUUUGGAAAAACGACAUGUUUCUUGGGAAAUUCUGUUUUAAUUUGGGAGAAAAAAAAAACUUUUACGUAAACAUUUCUUUUCUAUUCUAAGCACAAGGCCCGAAAUUUUGGGGGAGGGGAAGUCGAUUAGAUCAAUCCCAGUACGCAACUGGUAGUUAAUUUAUCGACCCCGAAAGGAUGAAAGGCAAAGUCGACGUCGGUGGAAUUUGAACUCAGAACCUAAAGACGGGCGAAAUACCGCUGUGCAUUUCGUCCGGCGUGCUAACCUUUCUGCCAGCUCGCCACCAUGAUAUUAUUUCUACUCUAGGCACAAGGGCUUGAAAAGUUUGGGUAAGGGCACUAGUCGAUUACAUCAACACCAGUACGCAACUGGUACUUAAUUUAUCGACCCCGAAACGAUAAUAGGUAUAGUCGACCUCGGAGGAAUUUGAACCCAGAACGUAAAGGCGGAGAAAAUACCGCUAAGCAUUUCGCCCGGCGUGCUAACGAUUCCGCUUACUCGCCGACUUUAUGGAAACAUUUCUUAAGUCGCAACAUGCCGUAUGCAAUGUCAUGAGUGAACUAGCAAUGAAAAUUGUCAGGAAAUGUCAUCGACUAAAGUCUAUUUGAAAUCUAGAAGACCUUCAGCAACAGUGAAUGAGGGUCCCACUGCGAAAGUGCAUGCUGACUGUAUCAGUGGGGUUUCCGAAGGAGUAGGUAUUUAUAGUAUUUGCCUCAUGGUUUUAAAAGAAUCAUUGAAAGCGCAUCGUGUUGCCGCAAAAUUUCUGCUGUGUCUACCAACUGAGCUAAGAGCUGUUUUAUAGUUCGGAUGAUGAGAUCUUGCUGAAAAGUACCAGUCGAUCAUAUUUGAAGGUGAUGUUGAUCGUCUUUUUUAUAGGAGCCUUGUACGUCAUAAGCUUGUUCUUCGUGGCUCAACGAUCAGUGAUGAUAUUUGCUUCU
rnacentral:lncRNA from 1 species